GCCGAGGUGGUGGAAUUGGUAGACACGCUAGCUUGAGGGGUUAGUGGAGGGAUCUCCGUGCAGGUUCAAGUCCUGUUCUCGGCACCA
rnacentral:tRNA from 1 species